CACGUAGGGUGCGAGCGUUGUCCGGAAUUAUUGGGCGUAAAGAGCUCGUAGGCGGUGUGUCGCGUCGGCCGUGAAAACCUGCAGCUUAACUGUGGGCUUGCGAUCGAUACGGGCAUCACUGGAGUUCGGCAGGGGAGACUGGAAUUCCUGGUGUAGCGGUGAAAUGCGCAGAUAGUCUGGAGGAAUACCGGUGGCGAAGGCGGCAUCCUGGACCGAGAUUGACACUGAUGAGCGAAAGCUAGGGGAGCAAACGGG
rnacentral:rRNA from 1 species